rnacentral:rRNA from 1 species
UAGGUCUCAGUUCAGACUGCAGGCUGCAACUCGCCUGCACGAAGUCGGAAUUGCUAGUAAUCGUAGGUCAGCAUACUACGGUGAAUACGUUCCCGGGCCUUGUACACACCGCCCGUCAAACCAUGAGAGUUGGCAACACCCGAAGUCGGUAGUCUAACCGCAAGGAGGACGCCGCCGAAGGUGGGGUUGAUGAUUAGGGUUAAGUCGUAACAAGGUAAC